rnacentral:rRNA from 1 species
UACAGAGGUCUCAAGCGUUGUUCGGAAUCAUUGGGCGUAAAGGGCGCGUAGGUGGCCCGGUCAGUCCGUGGUGAAAGCGCGGGGCUCAACCCCGCGUCGGCCAUGGAUACUGCUGGGCUGGAGCACUGUAGAGGCAGGCGGAAUUCCGGGUGUAGCGGUGGAAUGCGUAGAGAUCCGGAAGAACACCGGUGGCGAAGGCGGCCUGCUGGGCAGUUGCUGACACUGAGGCGCGACAGCGUGGGGAGCAAACAGG